rnacentral:rRNA from 1 species
GAUUGAAGGCUGAAAUUCGCCUUCAUGAAGCUGGAAUUGCUAGUAAUGGCAGGUCAGCAUACUGCCGUGAAUACGUUCCCGGGCCUUGUACACACCGCCCGUCACACCAUGAGAGUUGGGAAUACCCGAAGCCUGUGAGCUAACUUAUAGAGGCAGCAGUCGAAGGUAGAAUCAAUGAUUGGGGUGAAGUCGUAACAAGGUAUC